AAAUAAAUUAAAUUAAUGAAUAUCAUAUAAAAAAAGGGGAAAACAGAAUCAUCCCCCUCUUCCCACGUUAAAACCGUCCCUUUUCCCUUCACUCCAUAAAUCUCUCACAUAUCUAUCAACCACCUCCCCUCUAUAAUGUACCUUUCACAAAUCAGUUUCUCCUAUUCGUUUCUCUGCAACAAGAACACAAGAUAUACUCUUCUUAAUCAAAUUCAAGGUAACCUGCUGAAUUUUCCCUCUAUUUUACAUGCUUUGGAACAAACACACUUAAUUUUCCUUCCGCCAGGAACCGAGAAAAAAAAAACAAAUUUAAGAGAGAAGGUCCUACAUCGUUUCAUCCUUGUUUCAUUCACAAUCUGUCAAUUGAAGGUGAAUCAUCGCAAGUGAAACGUGAUACCAAGGGGGAAGACAGUGCUUGUGAAUUAAGUAGUCGAGGUUGAGCGGCGACGAGCAAUUGGUGGUGUUGAGCAAUUUAAAAUUGAAGCAUGUUUUGGUUAG